GUGGCGAACGGGUGAGUAAUGCAUCGGAACGUGCCCAGUCGUGGGGGAUAACGCAGCGAAAGCUGCGCUAAUACCGCAUACGAUCUGUGGAUGAAAGCGGGGGACCGUAAGGCCUCGCGCGAUUGGAGCGGCCGAUGUCAGAUUAGGUAGUUGGUGGGGUAAAGGCUCACCAAGCCAACGAUCUGUAGCUGGUCUGAGAGGACGACCAGCCACACUGGAACUGAGACACGGUCCAGACUCCUACGGGAGGCAGCAGUGGGGAAUUUUGGACAAUGGGCGCAAGCCUGAUCCAGCAAUGCCGCGUGCAGGAAGAAGGCCUUCGGGUUGUAAACUGCUUUUGUACGGAACGAAACGGUCUGAGUUAAUACCUCGGGCUAAUGACGGUACCGUAAGAAUAAGCACCGGCUAACUACGUGCCAGCAGUCGCGGUAAUACGUAGGGUGCAAGCGUUAAUCGGAAUUACUGGGCGUAAAGCGUGCGCAGGCGGUGAUGUAAGACAGUCGUGAAAUCCCCGGGCUCAACCUGGGAAUUGCGAUUGUGACUGCAUCGCUGGAGUGCGGCAGAGGGGGAUGGAAUUCCGCGUGUAGCAGUGAAAUGCGUAGAUAUGCGGAGGAACACCGAUGGCGAAGGCAAUCCCCUGGGCCUGCACUGACGCUCAUGCACGAAAGCGUGGGGAGCAAACAGGAUUAGAUACCCUGGUAGUCCACGCCCUAAACGAUGUCAACUGGGUUGUUGGGUCUCUUCUGACUCAGUAACGAAGCUAACGCGUGAAGUUGACCGCCUGGGG
rnacentral:rRNA from 1 species